UCUCUAAUUUUAGUUCUUUGCUCAUCUCUUCAUAUUUCUCUCUAUUUUUUCUCCUCCACAUCUUUCAUUUUCUUCCCGAAUUCGUGUUCUUCUACCAAACUGAUACCGAUCGAGACGAUGAUCAUGGUAGCCUGCUAUCAAUCCAUUUGGAACCAUCUCAACCAGGUAGCCCCUACCCUAAAAAAAAUUAAAUAAUUUUUUUGACCAAUAACUUGAAAAAAAAAAAAUAGUCAUAAUAAAAAUGGCUCGGGUAUAUAUUUUGCAUUAUUAUAACGACUCAUGUCCAGGAUUCAAAUCAGGAUUUGAAAUCCAGAUUCGAUACUUGAUAGACCCGACAUUUCUCUGCGACAUGAUUAGAUUACUUGCUCCUCACCUAUAAGAGUGACAGUCCUUUUAGAUUCCUUACUUCUCGCUUCUUCGGAGUUUGAGCGAUAUGAUUAGACUUCUUACUACUCGAUUUUUAGAGUAAAGAGUUCUUUCAGCAAAAUUUGUUCUCUGAAAAAUUCAUAGGAUGUCACUC